UACGUAGGUGGCAAGCGUUGUCCGGAAUUAUUGGGCGUAAAGCGCGCGCAGGCGGUCCUUUAAGUCUGAUGUGAAAGCCCACGGCUCAACCGUGGAGGGUCAUUGGAAACUGGGGGACUUGAGUGCAGAAGAGGAAAGCGGAAUCCACGUGUAGCGGUGAAAUGCGUAGAGAUGUGGAGGAACACCAGUGGCGAAGGCGGCUCACUGGUCCAUUACUGACGCUGAGGUGCGAAAGCGUGGGGAGCAAACAGG
rnacentral:rRNA from 1 species